CCGAGCUCACUCGGCAGGUUCUGGAACAGUCCCAAAGUAGCUCCCGUUUCCACAGCAACCAGCCAGGCACUGUCGUUAAACCACACAGCAGUUCCUUCACGCAAGGCAGUUCAGUCCUCAAGCACUGCAUGUUUCAUUCUUGAAGAAGCAAUGUGCUGAAACACAAAAUGAGAAAAUAAAUACUUCAAAGCAACCUGUUGCAAAGGCUGCAUCUGAAAGGGAAACCUACUUUGGAUGCAAGCAAGGCUGUACUUCAGGGAAAUACCCACAUGCUGAGAGAGCGACAAGCUAAUCACAAUGACUGCUUUAUGUUGAAUCAAUAAAGCGUUGGGUUGAACAGAAAUCAAGUUGCGGUUCAAUUGUCAAGUGAUUCUUUCAAGCGAUUGUGUUUUACCAGGAGCUUUUGGUUUAAGCUUGAAUUGCUCUUCUACAACCAAAGUGGAAACAGCAAUGUUUAUCCAACAUGUUUCCAAUUCACCCACAUGGCUGUGUACUCUGUUUCGAACUUUGAAAGAUUUGAAUUCUCAGGGGGGCCGUGCAUAUCUCAUCGACUCCUUACCAAGACAUGACCAAGCUGUUGUAGCUGUAGUCUAACUUUCUACUAAUAAUGACACAUUCUAACUAGGAAGUGUUAACCACUUCAGAAAAGAGUCACAGUCAUAUUCAGGAACAACCCCUGAGUGCUACCGCUCACUCGGGUGCACUUUCUCAGUGUGAAAAGCCAUUAACAUGAGCAUGUCCACGCAAGUCUUCUUUCUGAACUGUCUGCCUCUGAUCCACCACUAGAGUUCAGUCGGCAUCUGUGAUGAAAGAGGUGGUCCCAGAGACAGCUCAUACAAACAAGCAGAAAUAUAAUGGAAUACAGUGCAGAAAUGCACUUGAGUGCUGACUAUGUGGCUGGAACAGCUUCUGAAUCUGUAUAGAUAUCAUUGCUUUACCAUUUCACCAUACAUUUUUAUGCAUAUUGGGGCUUUUUAUUUUGGAUUGAGAUAUUAUGCAAAAGAAAUAUGUAACUGAAAACAUUUGAUUAUGAUAUAGAAUAUGUGUCUGAAUUAAAUACAAAUGUAUUUUUUAGAUGCACUGUAUUUUUUGUUCCAAUUCCAGACUAGGCUGUAAUUAGUCUAUUAUGGCAAUUACAUGGUUUGCUAUGAGAUAGACUGUUUUGGCAGUCUAUUAGUGAGAUUUUUACGCUACAAUAUUACAUGUAUUGAAGCAUGUCACAGGGGUUUUUAAAGAGAAAAGCAAAGCUGUGUGAUGCAUGUUUUUUAUCAGUUUUCUAGGGAAAGAAUGUGAGUGGGCACUGCUGGCAAAAGCAAAAUGUAAUUAAAACCUAGCAACAGCACAGUCUCCACUUACUAAAGGCAUACAUAUUGUGAGUGGGGAGCUUCUGGACUGAGUAACUGUAAACUGUGCAGGCUCUUAAUCAUUACUGGGUUUCCUUCUCAAAGUCAAACCAGUACUUGUUACACUUCCUGUAACAAUCCACAAAAUGUUAGUAUACCCUGUUCUUUUUGUGAUGUCUUUAGCAGACAAAGACAAUUAUUAAAUUCCAGUUCUAGUUAUUUCCCUUAAACUGUAAAUUCUCAAUUAUAAUCUUUUCAAAACAACAGAUAGAAAAUGCGGUUGAGCAGGUUUUUAAACUCUUACAAGGUUCAUGUUUUAAUCCACAAGAAAAGCAUGCACUAUUACACUUGCAAGGGUUAAUCAAAUGAAGCAGUAAUUUCCUUUUACAUUAUUCUCAAGGUAAAUUGAGCCUGAAGCUAAAAAAAGCAUAACUCCUGUCCAAUACCAAUACCAGAGCCUUGAGUGGCAUGUGACAGGCUCCUGUCCUUUAAACACUGCCUAGGCCGGGUUAUCUAUUCUUCUGCUCCUGUUAUUUUUUUCCCUCGAAACUCAGUAAGGUUUGGAUUGUGGGUUGAGCAGUUCCACCCAGCAGGAGUGACAGACAAUCUGGAAAGCUCAGUCUGCUUCUUCUCAUCCUCCUUCUUCUCCAUCGGGUCUCAGUCCCUCUGGUAAUAUGUGAUUGUAGCCUUGGCGUUCCAGUCAGGUCUCUGUGGAAAUCCCCUCCUGCUGCUGAUGAGGUCUGCUCUGCAGUCACGUGACUCUCUAGUCCCCAAGGGCAGCUGCUGCUGCUGCUCCCACCGCUUCAUUUUCAAUGAGAAGCAAUUAGGUCAUUCCUGUUCGAACACAGAAUGACCUUCAUUUGGUUUUGACCCUCUUUCAUGUUAAAUUUCCUCCUAAUUAAACAGUUCAGUUCACAGCUUCAUUAACUGGGUACUAGUACUACAUUUUGGAUAUUGCAGUUAUGUUUUGGCACUAACUACAGAUAUGAUUCACAUAUGUGUGUGAAUCAUAUCUAUAGUACUUGGAUAAAAAAUACUGUGUUAGAAAAGAACUAAAGGUGCAAACUAAUGGGAAAAUAGACAAUUUCCAUACCAGCUGGGUUCAAUUAUGAAGGCAGAACGGCACAAAAAAGCCACCAACUGGAGUCAACAUAUUUUUUUCCUAAGUGAAUUACUGUUAGCAGUAACUACAGGGUGCAUUGGGUGUACAAGGAGAUAACAGUCUUCUGAGUGGAUAAAACCCAAGCGGAAUGGUUUGCAUUCAGACUGCUGUCUCAAACGCCAUAUGUGUCCUGUAGCUAUAUAGCUAAGCUCCAUGAUUUCA